rnacentral:rRNA from 1 species
ACAACUUUCAACAACGGAUCUCUUGGUUCUCGCAUCGAUGAABAACSCACCGAAAUGCGAUAAGUAAUGUGAAUUGCAAAAUUCAGUGAAUCAUCUAAUCUUUGAACGCAUCUUGCGCUCCUUGGUAUUCCGAGGAACAUGCCUGUUUGAGUGUCAUUAAA